rnacentral:rRNA from 1 species
AUUGAACGCUGGCGGCAGGCCUAACACAUGCAAGUCGAACGAGUGGCGGACGGGUGAGUAAUGUCUGGGAAACUGCCUGAUGGAGGGGGAUAACUACUGGAAACGGUAGCUAAUACCGCAUACCAUCAGAUGUGCCCAGAUGGGAUUAGCUUGUUGGUGGGGUAACGGCUCACCAAGGCGACGAUCCCUAGCUGGUCUGAGAGGAUGACCGGCCACACUGGGACUGAGGCACGGGUCAGAAUCUGACGGUGGUCGAGAGUUGUGGAUAUCUCACGAUGGGCGCAAGCAUGAUGCAGACAUGCCGCGUGAAUGAAUAAGGCUGUCGGUUGUGAAAGCACUUUCAGCGGGGAGGCUUUCCCCGCAGAAGAAGCACCGGCUAACUCCGUGCCAGCAGCCGCGGUAAUAC